rnacentral:rRNA from 1 species
UCUCUCAGUACGGUCGGAAAUCGUACGUAGAGUGUAAAGGCAAAAGAGAGCUUGAUUGCAAGACAUACAGGUCGAGCAAGGAUGAAAAUCGGACUUAGUGAUCCGGUGGUUCUGCGUGGAAGGGCCAUCGCUCAACGGAUAAAAGCUACCCUGGGGAUAACAGGCUUAUCUCCCCCAAGAGUCCACAUCGACGGGGAGGUUUGGCACCUCGAUGUCGGCUCAUCACAUCCUGGGGCUGUAGUAGGUCCCAAGGGUUGGGCUGUUCGCCCAUUAAAGUGGUACGCGAGCUGGGUUCAGAACGUCGUGAGACAGUUCGGUCCCUAUCCGUCGCAGGCGUAGGAAAUUUGAGAAGACCUGUCCUUAGUACGAGAGGACCGGGAUGGACGUACCUCUGGUGUACCAGUUGUUCUGCCAAGGGCAUGGCUGGGUAGCUAUGUACGGAAUGGAUAAGCGCUGAAAGCAUCUAAGCGCGAAGCCGACUUCAAGAUAAGAUUUCCCACCGCAAGGGUAAGACCCCAGAAAGACUAUCUGGUUGAUAGGUCGAAGGUGUAAGUGCAGCAAUGUAUUUAGCUUAUCGAUACUAAUAGGUCGAGGACUUGACCAA